GGUUGUAAACUUCUGUGAUGGGGGACGAAAAAAAUGACGGUACCCCAAGAGGAAGCCCCGGCAAACUACGUGCCAGCAGCCGCGGUAAUACGUAGGGGGCAAGCGUUGUCCGGAAUCACUGGGCGUAAAGGGCGCGUAGGCGGCCUAUUAAGUUGAAUGUGAAAUCCCCGAGCUCAACUCGGGACCUGCAUUCAAAACUGAUGGGCUUGAGUAUGGUAGAGGUAAGUGGAAUUCCUAGUGUAGCGGUGGAAUGCGUAGAUAUUAGGAGGAACACCAGUGGCGAAGGCGACUUACUGGGCCAUAACUGACGCUGAGGCGCGAAAGCGUGGGGAGCAAACAGGAUUAGAUACCCUGGUAGUCCACGCUGUAAACGAUGAAUACUAGGUGUAGGGGGUAUCGACCCCUUAUGUGCCGCAGCAAGACGCAAUAAGUAUUCCGCCUGCGGAGUGC
rnacentral:rRNA from 1 species